rnacentral:lncRNA from 1 species
AUGCAUGCACUUUUCAGCUCAAUAGAAAGCCAUAUCCACGACUCUCCUCCUCUCAAGAGGGUCAGUUUCUUCUUCAAUAACAUUCAACGACAUCAUCAUCAUCUCAUUCAAUGAUGUAGUCUAGAGCAGAUGUAACUUACACUCUCCCUGUUUUUAAUUAGUUAUCGUUUAAAGUUUUUGCACAAAAGUUUAGAAAACAAUUAAAGUUUCAGUUUUAUUCUUAUUUAUUAUAUUUUCUAUUUUUUUUUAUUGUUCAAAGCAUUUAAAAAACUAGAAUAAAGUUGGAAUUUUCACCCAAUUAUUGCAUUGAACAUCCAAAACGACAACUAUUUCGAAACAAAAUUUUAACUCUAGAAUGAAAACUAAUUUAAAACGGAUGAAAUAUGUUUUAUCAUUUAUUGUUUAUGCAUGCAAAACUAUAACAACCCUGCCUCAUAAAUUUUUUCUUGUCAUUAAAUGUUCAAACAUUAAAAGACAAGGUUAAGGAUAAGAAAAAAAUACAGAUAUUGAAAAUCUGAACAGCUUGUUGUUUUUCAAUAUCUUUAAAAUUGUCUUUUACUGUUUGAACAUCUAACAACAACAGAAAUUUAUCGGUUAGUGUUGUAAUAGUUUUGCAGACAGGCGACACAACAAAUGAUAAAAAAAAAAUGUUUCAUGACAAACUCUUUGUCACCUUGCAGACCAGUAUUGUAAGUACUUUAACAGCUAUUUUCUUCAAGUACGACCAACAACAACAACAAAAAACAUACAGUUUUUAGAAAUUACAAUGACAAGGUUAUAGGUUUUUUUAGUUACCUCUCCAUGCAUUGUCUAGCCUUCCUUGAUACACAGGUCCAAAACCACCUCUUCCUAUCAAAGAUUCAUCCUUGAUAGUAUUCGUAGUGGUGCAAGUUCGCAAUAUGAAAAAAUCUUGACAUAUGUAUAAGGUUUCUAAAACUCUUUCUGGUUUGGCUACAAAGGAACAAAACACCACAAAUGAGAUUGAGACUCUAUUAUCACAUGUGAUCUGGAUCAAUUAAUUGCGUUAAAGAGACAUCGGUUAACCAAAUAAACAAAUCUUUCAACAGUGACGACUUAUAUAAUCCAUCACUAUAAAACUAUCUAUCAUCAUUAACUUUAAUAAUCUAGCUAUAUAAUGGUAUUAUAAUUAAAGACAUCUCAAGAUUAAUAAAUAAAGAACAAAGAUUCAUGAGA